rfam:Hordeum vulgare subsp. vulgare, WGS project CAJW01000000 data, contig: morex_contig_59746
UAAAUACUCCUUCCGUCCUAAAAUUCUUGUCUUAGCUUUGCCUAGAAAUAAAUAUAUCAAAAUACUAAAAUUUGACUAGAUACAUUCACAUCUAAAUAAAUUUAAGACAAGAAUUUUAAAACGGAGGAAGUAAUAC